AUCGAGGGUAGUCGUAGGUAGUCAAAGGUAGUCGUAGAUAGUCUUCAUCAUAGUUGAAGGGAGAUCGAAGGAGGUCGUCUUCACUCUCCACUAUUCGGUGCCCAAUUUUUCUGAAGUUAGUCAUCGCUAGUCGAAGCUGGUCUUCUACAUAGUCGAAAUAGGUCUUCAACAUGUCAUUUUUUCAAACUCUUCUAAAC